GAUGAAGAACGCAGCGAAAUGCGAUACGUAAUGUGAAUUGCAGAAUUCAGUGAAUCAUCGAAUCUUUGAACGCAUAUUGCGCUCUCUGGUAUUCCGGAGAGCAUGCUUGUUUGAGUAUCAGUAAACACCUCAACUUCCAUAUCUUUUUUGAAAUGGGAGUUGGACUUGAGUGAUCCCAACGCUUUUCCUCACCGAAAAGUGGCGGGUUACUUGAAAUGCAGGUGCAGCUGGACUUUUCUCUGAGCUAUAAGCAUAUCUAUUUAGUCUGCCUAAAAACAGAUUAUUACCUUUGCUGCAGCUAACAUAAAGGAGAUUAGUUCUUGUGCUGACUGAUGCAGGAUUCACAAAGACAGGCUUCGGCCGACUUUGUAAACUCGAUCUCAAAUCAAGUAAGACUACCCGCUGAACUUAAGCAUAUCAAUAAGCGGAGG
rnacentral:misc_RNA from 1 species